GACGAACGCUGGCGGCGUGCCUAAUACAUGCAAGUCGAACGCAGUGGGGACGGGUGAGUAGCACGUGGGUAACGUCACAUCAGAGGGGAGAACACUUGGCAACAGGUGCUAAACCGAAAUUGAUGGAUGGACCCGCGGUGCAUUAGCUAGUUGGUGAGGUAAUGGCUCACCAAGGCCACGAUGCAUAGCCGGCCUGAGAGGAGGAUCGGCCACACUGGAACUGAGACACGGCCCAGACUCCGACGGGAGGCAGCAGUAGGGAAUCUUCGGCAAUGGGCGAAAGUCUGACCGAGCAACGCCGCGUGAGUGAAGAAGGUUUUCGGAUCGUAAAGCUCUUUUAUUAGAGAAGCGGUAUCUAACCAGAAAGCCACGGCUAACUACGUGCCAGCCGCCGCGGUAAUAC
rnacentral:rRNA from 1 species